rnacentral:rRNA from 1 species
AGUGAACGCUGGCGGUAGGCCUAACACAUGCAAGUCGAACGGCAGCACAGUAAGAGCUUGCUCUUACGGGUGGCGAGUGGCGGACGGGUGAGGAAUACAUCGGAAUCUACUUUUUCGUGGGGGAUAACGUAGGGAAACUUACGCUAAUACCGCAUACGACCUACGGGUGAAAGCAGGGGAUCUUCGGACCUUGCGCGAUUGAAUGAGCCGAUGUCGGAUUAGCUAGUUGGCGGGGUAAAGGCCCACCAAGGCGACGAUCCGUAGCUGGUCUGAGAGGAUGAUCAGCCACACUGGAACUGAGACACGGUCCAGACUCCUACGGGAGGCAGCAGUGGGGAAUAUUGGACAAUGGGCGCAAGCCUGAUCCAGCCAUACCGCGUGGGUGAAGAAGGCCUUCAGGUUGUAAAGCCCUUUUGUUGGGAAAGAAAAGCAGCAGGUUAAUACCCCGCUGUCCUGACGGUACCCAAAGAAUAAGCACCGGCUAACUUCGUG